rnacentral:sRNA from 1 species
AGAACCUGCCUUUCAGGCAUCCUCUCCCAAACCUUCCAGAGCCGCUUUUAGCGGCUCUUUUUUUGCCCGCAG